UCUAUUUACUGACUUUCUUUCUAUUGAUUUGAGUUAAUAGCUUGCUGGCACAUUUAUUUUCAUUUUUGAAGUGAAUUAUUUAUUUGUUCAUUCAUCUAUUGUCCUGAUCUAUUUAAUGAUUAACUUACUUAGUGACUACCUAUUGUUUUCUAGGUCUAGUUUAUUGGCUUACUGUGAUAUCGAUUAAUUUAUUGAAUGAUCAAUUGCUUUCUGAUCUAUUUAAUUAUUGACUUUCUGGCAUUUUAUAUAUUUAUUUUAUGGUCUUCAUCUAUUUUUUUGCUUGAUUAAGUGACUGGCUUCUUAAUCUAGACAUAGGUGUGGUCAGUGGAUCACAUAGUGUUGAAAAAUAGCGCAAGAAUUUUGCCAUUAUAGAAUCAUCUGUAAAAUCAUCAAAAAAGGUGAGCUCCUGUUUUGUCUCUUCUGGAGGAUUCAGUUACCAAUUAAAAUUGUUAUGCAUAAAUGUCAUAAGAAAACUUGGUAAGAACAAUGGGUUUUUAAUGAGCUAUCAUUGGUGACAGGUAUCAACUUUUUGAAUUACAUUUGGAAAGGGAUGGUUAUUUACUGUAUUUAGUUCUAUGAAACCCUGGAUCUCACUGUUACUCUGAUACUGGUAUGAUCAAUUUUUGUCUCUGCAUUUACUGUUCAUUUAAAUGUUUAUUUAAUUAUAUUUUGAUGCUGGGAAUUGUGUACUGUCAUUAUCUUUAGUUUUAAAAUGCAGUGUACAGACAUUUGUGUGGAUUCUUAAAUUUUAUGGUUCUGUUUAUUUUGUUCAUCUUUGGUCUUGUAAUAUAACUCUGUAAAACUCAUAAUAUUCCUGCCUCUGCCUCCCAAGUGUGGUACUACAGUCUUGCAUUAUUGCAUUACUCCCAUCUAGCAGAUUCAUUUAUUUAAUUAUUGAGACAGAGACAGAUGCACUGAAAGAAUGCAUGAAUGAGCAUUGAGAUGAGACAUAAGACCUACUGCAUCUCACUAGGGAACUAACCAUACACUUAGCCUGGACACUUCACAUUUUUUUUCAGUGCCGUUAAUUUAGCUCAGAAUCUUUUUCAUGUGAAGGAAUUAAUGUCACUGAACCAUAACUCUAUAAACUUUGAGUGUCUUUCUAAAGCAGGCCCCUCACUGUCUUUCCUACCACACCAGUACCAAGUACCCACAACCGCAUACCACAUUACAAUUGUUACCUAGUAUUUUAGUAAAUACCUUGUCAAAGACCUUGGCUGGAUUUAUGAUGAGCUAUGUUUACUGAGCAUGAUGAAAUGAAGCUCAAAGUGAUGAUUACUCUGAAAUCUAGCCAAAGUGUCAGUUUAAUGACUUAGGUAACAAAAUUAAUUUAUUCCCAAGGAGACUGGAGCUGUAGAUCUUUUCACUAUAACAAACUUGGUUUUAUACCUAUUCAUUCCCUGUUGUAAAGUGCCUCCAUAUUCCCAUCCUGCAGUAGCUUUCACCCUGCUUUCCUUCUGCUGUAGAAACCUGAGAAAAACACUGGAAGCUGAUGUCUUCCUUCCAGUCAUCAAGUGAUAAUUUCUGGAGCCUGUUCUUAGUCAUUCUCAAUUUUCCAUUCACUAUAUUGAGAUCUUACUAGUAAGAUACUCAUUGAUUUUUUUUUCCUUUGAAUGAGAUAUUUAGAGAAUGCUGAGUGUGAAUCCAGAGAAAUUAGUGUAUAUUCUCACAAUGCAUUUCAAUAGAGUGUUAGUCUGAUAAACAUGGUUUAAAUUAACUCUGAUUCCUGAUAUUGAGUAUGAGUAAUUAUUUUACAAAUAUCAGUUAGUUUAUUUUCAUUUUUGGGCAGUAAGAUAACUUAUUACUAUUUUCAAACACUUGAUUUGGCAGAGUCUGGAAGAUUACAUCUAUACUAGGUGUUUUUGUUCCUCUUGAGCUUUGUUUUGUAUAGUAGCUACUGCUGUAGUUUUUUUUUUUUUUACUGUGGAAAAUUCUCAUGUCUUUGUUAGAUUUACUUCUGAAUGUUUGCAGAUCUGCUUGAAGAUACAAGUAGAUUUUUUACAGUUGUAAAAUAUACUUUGGUUAAAAUUUUUAUAACUGAUAAAAUUUAAAUAUAUCAUAACUUAUUGGGAUAAUUUAGUUAACAUAGAAUUCUAAGAUGAUUCUUGAUAACACAUUAUCUUACAUGGUUCAGAGUCAAACCAGAAAAAUAAUUUUAUUGUACUGUAUUUUUUGGUUUAUUUAGUAAAAAUUAAAAGAAGAUGGUAUGUGUUAAAGGUUUUUCAAAUGAAUACUGUAAUCAAAUAACUUAAUAUAAGGUAAAAUUUCUGUUACUUCCUGGUAAAAUCAUUUCAUAAAGAUUAUGGAAAGCAGUGAAUUUUAUGAUUAUGUUGGAGUGGCUAAGGUUGGUCUGAAACAAGGGGUCAUGAGAAGUGCAAUUAAAUAUAAAUUGGGAAAUUACACUUAUGGAGUCAUACAAGUAUGAUUAUUUCAUGCCAUCUUGAUCCUAAGAUCACAAACCACAUGUUUGUUAAAGUGUAUAAAAAAUAUUCUUAUAGUUUUAGGCAUAAAAAUAGACUUUCUAGUUUAAGGCCUCAUAUUUUUACAAUUAUUUUAGUUGGCCUUUCAAUGAGCACUCACUUGGAAACAUUACUAUGGAAUUUAGUUCAGGAUGCUUUAUAUAUAGUAAUCAUGGUUAUGUGUUUGUCAGAGAAGCUUACCCUAAUUUGAGUAACGGAUCUCUUUGUCAUGAUAAAAUUCAUGAUGGAACAUAGCCCUGUUACAAUAUCUACGGUUGAAUGUACACAUCUACAUUAUAGUAGAAUAAUGUACCAUUUGUUAUUUUAACAUUAUAUAGAAUAUUAAGAUGAUAUUUUGCAUUUGAAGAUAAUUUACUUACUAGAAUGAAUUUAUUGCUUGUUCAUGAAUUUCUAGACUCGUUUAGGGCCAUAGUAAAGGAUGUAGUAAAUAAGAGAGUACAAUUUAAGUGAGAUGGUCUAUGUCAUGGCUUUACCCAAAUAAGAAGUAAUUUGUGGAUGAAUCUGAACAUCUUUAACUUAAUGAUAGGAAAGAUGUCUAUGAACAUAAAACACUGCUUUAUGCUGUGUUUAAAGAGGUUUGGUUAUAUAGUGUAGAGACUCUACUCAACACACACGAUGAACUAAUAUGCCAUUUAAAAGAUCUAGUAAGGUAGAUAUCUAAUGGAAAAUUUCUGAACUCUUUUCAAAUGUGUUGUAUAAAACUUGAAUUGUAUUGUGCAUAUUCUAAAUAUCAUUAUGAUUUAAAACCAUAAGUCAUGUGUAUAUAUAAAAUUAUUUUUCUUCGACAUUUGUAUCACAUCUUUAUUAACAUCAUUUAUAGGGGUUUUAUUACAUGAAAUAUGUGAAAUGUAAACAUUUCUGCUGUUCUUGAUAUAAGUGUGAUUGUCCCAUGUAUUGACAUGUAUGUGAAUACAGUUUUAUAUACGUAUUAACUCAUGAGUAUCUAUACUCGAUGAUAUACACUAAAAUACAAGAUUAGAACUUUUGGUUUCACCAGAUUGUUAAUAUGGUUUCAUAAGUGGUAUGAUAACAGCAAUUGUUUUUUCUGUUUGUUCAUUGUGAACUGUGAAAUGUUAAAGGCCAACAUUGUGUUUUUAAUUUUGUUCAUUGUGAAUGGUGAAAUGUUAAGUAAGGGCCAACAUUGUUAUUAAUUGGAAUUGCUGUAUCAUACAGUUAUAGUUAUCAAAUACCAGGUUUCUAUCAGUGAAUCUUCCAUGCUUCCAUGCAUCAGUCAUGUUUUUAGAAAUUAAGUCAGUGAGCUACAUAAGAUUUGAUCACCAUCCCCCUGUUUACAUGUUUGUGGGACUUCGCAUUAUGUAGUGCAGACUUUCUAAAUAGUCCAGUCAAAUUCUCAACUUGUUUCUGUGUUUGUUUUUAUUCAUUUUUUAAAACAAUCUGACCUGAUGGUGUUUAACUACUGCUGAAAUAAUAGACUAACUGUAGAGUGUCUCAAAUUCUUAUAUUUGUAGAAACACCAUCAACUGCCCUAUGCACAUGGUGUUAUUAAUACAUGUUCAGUCUUAACAUUAGAGGUAUACUAUUUUGUACUUAAUUUAUAUGAGGUUUAUUUGUGUGUAUAUAUAUGUAUAUAAAUACAUUGUGUACAUAUACAAAUAGUUUUAUGUAUAUUCAGAUACUUUUACCUAUGUAUAUAAUUUUUAUUCAAUUUUCUGAAUGUAUUUUACUUUUAAAAUUUAUAAAUUCUUUUUGUGUGUUAAUGUAAUGUACCAAGCCUAUAUAAUGUGUCAAAUGUAUGUAGUGAAUUUAUAUUAAAAUUUUCAGGAAUAGAUGUUAACACAUGUAUUAAGAAAGAAUGUGUUUAAGACAGUUGGCCUGUAAUAGUGUGAUUGUCCCAUGUAUUUACAUGUAUGUGAAUACAGUUUUAUAUACAUACUAAUUAAUGAGUAUCUACUCAAUUAAAACAAUAGUAACUAAAAUGAAAGAUUAGAACUUUUGGUUUCACCAGAGAUUAUUAUAUGGUUUCAUAAGUGGUAUGAUAACAGCAAUUUUUUUGUUUGUUCAUUGUGAAUGGUGAAAUGUUAAGUAAGGGCCAACAUUGUUAUUAAUUGGAAUUGCUGUAUCAUACAGUUAUAGUUAUCAAAUACCAGGUUUCUAUCAGUGAAUCUUCCAUGCUUCCAUGCAUCAGUCAUGUUUUUAGAAAUUAAGUCAGUGAGCUACAUAAGAUUUGAUCACCAUCCCCCUGUUUACAUGUUUGUGGGACUUCGCAUUAUGUAGUGCAGACUUUCUAAAUAGUCCGGUCAAAUUCUCAACUUGUUUCUGUGUUUGUUUUUUAUUCAUUUUUUUUAAAAAAAAAAUCUGACCUCACGGUGUUUAACUGUUGCUGAAAUAAUAGACUAAUUGUAGAGUGUCUCAAAUUCUUACAUUUGUAGAAACACCAUCAACUGCCCUAUGCACAUGGUGUUAUUAAUAUCUGUUCAGUCUUAACAUUAGAGGUAUCAUAAUAUUUUGUACUUAAUUUAUAUGAGGUUUAUUUGUGUGUAUAUAUAUGUAUAUAGAUACAUUGUGUACAUAUACAGAUAUUUUUAUGUAUAUUCAGAUACUUUUACCUAUGUAUGUAAUUUAUUCAGUUUUCUGAAUGUAUUUUACUUUUAAAAUUUAUAAAUUCUUUUUGUGUGUUAAAAUGUAAUGUACUAAGCCUAUAUAAUGUGUCAAAUGUAUGUAGUGAAUUUAUAUUAAAAUUUUCAGGAAUGGAUGUUAACACAAGUAUUAAGAAAAAAAUGUGUUUAAAACAAUUGUCCUGUAAUAGAUUUUAAAAUGUAUAUGGUUUUAGGAAGAGAGAAAUUAUUUUUGCUGAUAAAAUAUUCAUAUUUAUAGAUUUCAGUUAGUGAUUCAUUUGAGUGGUGUUGAAUUAUCUAAACAUUGUUAAGAAAGGACACUUAUGUGUUUACGUAUCUCUUAUAGAAAUGUAAAAUACAAUAUAUAUUUACAAAUAUGAGUGUAUAGUAUACCAUGAUGUCUUUUCAGUUACUAAAUUAUGAGUACAACUCAAGCAUAAAACUUAAGGUGUCGCUGUUUUUUGAAAAUUAUGUAUACUGUAUAAAGAGCAUGUACUUUCAUUUUAUUUUUCUGGCCACAGAUAUUUGUGUAUAUUUUUCCAAAAGAUACCUCAGAAUUAUAUAGGUAUAUAUCCAUGAUACCUGGCAAAAUGUAACAUUGUAAGGAAUGAGCUAUUUUUCAUCAAACAGCUUGUAUUUCUACAGGUGUAAAUAUAAUAUAAAUAUCAUUGUCUUUUAUAAUUUAUAUGAUAGUUUCUAAGGGGGAAACAUAGAGCCCAGUGUUUCAUAUUUGUUUGAAUGCCAGAGGAGAAAGUUAAUCACUAUGCAUUUUCUACUCCAUCCUCCUAGUAGCCUAGUUGACCUUUUUUCCUACUUUUUGUCAAAUUUCAUGAAGAUUUUGUACUACCUCCUAGGACACUGCAAAGUUUUGUAUGUGUUUCCUGGUUGCAUGACAAUAUUCAAGACAACUUUGUAAAUAAUAUUGAAAUACAGCAUUUGAAGGUCUUGUCUGUCUAGACAGAUAUAGAGUGCCACAGGGUAUAAUUUUGUGAAUACAUCAUUGGAAACCUUUGCUUCUUUUCAUUUCUGGAUGUGAAAUUUCUGGUUGAGAAUUUAUCACAUUUUAUGUUUAUUACUUAUUGAUGGUAGUGUAAUAAGAUUUAAUUUUAACUUUGGCUACUUAUCAAGAUAAUUCAUCAUUUCCCAUAGGAUAAUUAAGGCUUAUUGUACAUGUAAGGGCAUAAAUCUUCAUUCUGUGCCUCUAGUAAUGAUAGACUAUUAAUGUAAAUAUUUCUUUCUAGUCAUUGUAAGGAACAUCUAUUAAAAGAGUUUCUUCUACCUCCUUCAAUUAAUACAUUAUUAUAUUCACAUUGCAUGACAGCUUUCAAGACAAGUUGUAAAUAACUGAUACAUCUUUUCAUUUGAAAAAUGCAUUUUCAGAUGAAUAUUCAUAACAAAAGAUAAACCUGUAAAUAUUACAUUGUAAUCUAACAUUAAUGAAGCAUUGUAGCAAAUACUUUUUUCAAGGAAAAAGAUAAGUACUACUCAGUGUAUUAAGUAUAAAAUUCUGAGUAAGCUAUUUUUGCUUGAGAAAAAUUACUCAAAGAAAAUUAGUUUUAUUUUCAUGAAGAAAGAUGUAUAGUGACAAGUAAUUCAAAUUUUGAAUUAAUUUGAGAAUUGCUAAAAGCAUUGUUUUUUUACUAUAACCAAGGCAUACUUGUUUUUUCAUAUGUAAUUAUAUUUUUUCACAUACAUUAUAGUAGUAAUGUGUAAUGUUUGAUUUUUUAACCUGUAUUCCAACAUUAUUUCUAGUUCAGAUGAGUUUGCAAUCUCAAUGCUAUUACUAGACACAUUUUGUGAUAAUAAUUAGCGUAUAACUUUGUAAAUUCAUCAUUUUUUUGUUCUCUGAGAUACAGUUUUAAUACAUAAAAGUUUAAAAAUUGUAUAUAUUUUUCAUUGGAGAUUAUUAAAGUUGGAUAUCUAUUGUUCCCUCUGAAGUACUUUAAGAAAAAGUAGGCUGUAUGAUAUAUAAGGCAAUAUUAGUUAAGAAGUUCAGCUGUAUGCCGAACACCAACCAGCAUCUGCCAAGAGAGACCAUGAGGAGCUGCACAUCCAUUUGAGACAUCCUGGGCUAACAAGAUACUGUCAGCAGAAAGUAUGGAAGCAGAAGAACUGAACCCCUCCCUACAGGAACAGAAGUAUAAAGAAUAUGUAUUUUAUCAUUUCAGUUUCUCAAAUUUAAUAAUACAAGGCCUGUAGCUUAAGAUGAUUAUAACAUUUAAAAUAUUGUGUUUCAAUAGAAGUAGGGUUUGUGGUAUUGUAAUUGAAGAAAAGAACAAUUUACAUAUAGGUACAUUUUAGUUUUUCAAACUAAGGUAUAAUUAAGAAUACUAAUAUGUGGGUGAUUGAUUUGUUUAAGGUAGACAAUGUAUAUCUGCUUUGAGAUUGCCAAAUGAAAGCACCUAGAAUAAAUGAAAAAUUUAGGCAGACAGAAAACAUGUUCAAGAAGGAUGUUAAAUUUUUGCUACCUUUAAAGAGAAAGGAGUAAGACAACUUCUGUUUUCGUAUGUUUUAAGGCCUUUGCUAAUAUGCAUCUAAACAACAAGAAAUAGACUUUUUUCCCCAUUAGCUUUGAUUGUCAACAUCCCGGGAGUGAUGGGUUGCCUUAUCCCAAAGUUCUCUGUUUGUGAAGAAUUUUAGACACUCGAGGAUCUCAUGUGACAGCAAAGAGUAUUGCAUUAGCCACGAGGUCAGGACAACAGACUUCUUAAAUCUACGUUUGUGAUCAACAUUUGGAGUCGAAGACAAAUUACUUUUAAAGCGUUAUCUGCAGCCUAGAGGUAGUCACCAAAAUGGAUAAUCAUUGUUUCUACAAUGUUUCUACAAGAUUCCUAAUUGUAGAAAGGUCUAGAAGGUGUGGCGUGAAUGCUUUUACCAAUCAUUAAAAUUGAACUAGCUAUUUGGAUAGAGAAUGGAAGAUGUCUUUGAAGACUUAUAUAUUUAAAGACUUUUACUGUUUCUGAUGGACUAACUCAAGAAAAGUAUGAUGACACUGACAUUAACUUCAGCUUUUUCGGCGCUGCUCAUAAUGACUGCAGGAAUAUUUCCUGUAUGUAGAUUAAGUAGAUUAAGUAGGAGAAAAUAGAUUAAGUUGAGUCUUCCUAUACUACUUCAAGGAGGAUUCUGGGAUUGCAGUCGUGUAUUACAGCACCAGGUCAUGUGGUUCUGAGGCUCAAACUCCGUGAUUCCUGUGGCUCAACAACUACUCUACCAAUUGAACUACUACAUCCCUAGCUAAAGAAUGCCAUUUGCGUCUAAUCCAGGAACAGUGUUGAACAACUGUCGUUCCUAGUUCUUCACAACUCAACACAGGGAGGCUGAAGACCUGAGGCCAGGUUGGCAACUCUGAGACCUCUUCUCCACAUCUCAACAACAAAAAAGGUGGUGACCAUCUUGACAAAUACACCAAAAGUACCUUCUGAAAAGGCUUUAUCUACAGGAUCUCCCAAGUACAGUUAUUAAAUUGAUUGUUUCUGGAGUCCCUUAUCAUCUCACAACUUGCACAGGAGACUUCAACGGAAUAGAAACGACCUGCUCUGGGCAAGUAACUGACUGGAAUGUUCAGUUCUUUUGCUUUCAGCACAUCUCGUAUUCUCAGAUUGUAUGUUACCUAUUUUCUCCUUCAUAUUUCGCUUUUUGAACAGAAGAGACUUUUGUGUGGGGAUUGUACAAUUAAUGUGCACAGAUUUUUUUUUUAUUAUACUUCAGAUGGUAAUAACGUUUUCGGAGUAAUUGAGUUUACCUGCAUACCAGUUUUGUUAUCAUUUGGGAGACGGUUUCUUCCUCCUUUAAACAAGAAAUGCAGAUUUUAGGCAGGCCCCAAGAAGAUUCUCUUCCAUACUGUGUUCUCUAGAGGAGGUCCUCUGCUUUACUGACAUUAAUGACCUGUGUCUGGGGCAGAAGUACAAGUUUCUGUGGUUUGCCUUUUUUUCAAUACCCCAACUGCAGACGUCAAUGCCAUUGAAACUAUAUGAAUAUGUAGAGAAAUGUAAGCCUUGCACUGAUGAGGUGAGACAUGGGGCUGCUGUCUUGUAGAAUGUGUGGCAUCGUCAUUUUAUUGGUAUCACCCAUGUCCUUUUAGGUCACUGUAUCAAAGACAUUUGAAUUAUUACACUUGUUCCUGCUUAACCUAAGUGAAGUUAAUAUAGAGUACUUAAAAAAAAGUAUUAGUUAUUUGCUUCUAGACCAUAAGUCAUGCUGUUCAUUGGGGAAUUACUCUCUGCAUUUCUCAAUAUCUUUUAAUAGUUGUUAAGUAUAAGUAAGAACACUUGCUAAGAGUUUUAAAAGGGUGUGUGCAUGUAUGUCUUCAUGUGAGUAUGUUCAUGUUAGGUAUCUGCAGAGGUCAGAAAUGAAAGCAGUCCCCCUAAAGCUGGAGUUAGAGGUGAGCCAUGAUGGCUCAACCCCCAGAUAUUUUAAGAUUAUUUACUAAUUCUUUCUUUGAAUGAAAGUUGGUGUGGUUUACCAGCACAUUAUUUAAUACGAGCCAGUAAGAUGUCUCCCUGGAAAAAGAGAUUUCCAUCAAAGACCCGAUGUAUCUCUGGAAGCCAGGUGGGAAAGAAUACAGCAGAGAACAGAAUACUUAAUGGAUUUUUUUAAUCUCAUAAAUUUGAGUUCAACUCAAGUCUUCUUACUUAGUAUAUUAUUAUGAGGUUUCAGCUGGAUUCUUGCCCUCUUGUGUGUUUUUUAAUAAGGCCCAUUUAGUUUACAUGCAGUGGAGUCUUCUUUUUAAUACCAAAAUUAAAUUAAUGAAUUUCAGUUAGUCAUGUUAACGUUUGUUUCUCGUGUUCAGAUUGACUUUUAUUCUAAUCAGCCUCAGUGAUAGUACAUGAAACAGGAGAAAAUAAAACAAUUGGUCAGUUUGUGUUAGGGAUUACAAAACUUUUUUUUGUAAGCCUCCAGAUUUACAGAUCCUAUUGUGGCAACCAGGAAUCUGUCCUUGCGGUGUAAUAGUACCCAGGGCUAAUUCUUAAACUGCACCCUGGUAAAUAGUUGUGGUGAACAGCACUUGGGCCAGAUUUGAAUUCUAGCAGAUGAUUUUUGAUCUCUUGGUGUACUGUAUGAUUCAUCCAGAGGAUCUUUGAUAGAUUUUGAAACAGAAGAUACACAAUGCUUUUGCUUGUACUAGAUUCUGAAUCGUCUACAUCAGCAGUUCUCAAGCUGUGGCUUGUGACCCCUUUUGGUAUUCAACAUUCCUUUAACAGGGGUCAUCUAAGACUAUUAAAAACACGUAUUUAUAUUAUAAUUCGUAACAGUAGCCAAAUUAUUGCAGAUAUGAAUUAGCAACAAAAAAUAAUUUUAUGAUUGGGAGGUUACCAUAGCAUGAGUAACUACAUUAAAGGGUCACAUUAUUAGGAAAAUUGAGAAGCACUGAGCUACAUAUUCAAAUAUAUAGUUGCUGAAUGAAAUACUUAAGGCUUUUAGUACUUGGUCCUUAAUAUUUUUUUUUUGCAAUUUUUAAAGCUAGGUGUUUUAGUACAUUGAAAUAUCACCAUCAACAAUGAUUAAAGCAUUCUCUGGUCGUUCAUUCUUGAUCUUCUAGCCCCAUUCCACAGCUGUGAUGAGUUAAGCCUUCAUAAUAUAUAUGGUAGUUAGUAGCUUUAUUAUGUUUAUGUAAAUUGUAUGUGGCAUUUGUAAAUGUAUGAUCUUUGUAUUAAUGCUUUUAAACUUUCUUUUUAAUAUAGCACAGAGGUAUUUCCAAACCAGUAGUUUAAGUUUGCAAAAACAUGCUUUGCUCUACAUGUGAUAUUGUUGAUGAGAUUGUACAUAAUUAUAUAACUAUGAAAAUAUAUUUGGGUUCAUAAUAAUUUUCUAGGUGUGAUAAUAUUAUAUCAUCUUCUAUGGUUUCUGUCAAUGUUGUGAAAUUGCUCUUAAAGGUUAUCUGGGCUAAGCCAGAGAAGUGGUAUCAUGACAGUGCUAAUUUUCAUAAACGUGUUUACUAUGUUUCAAAAACAUUUAAAUCAUAGUCAAUCUAAUCAGUGAAAUCGUGUUUUUAAAACCUAAGCCUACUUUAAAUGUUAAGUGGCCAAGAUCUUACAAAAAUAAGUACGUUUUUAGAUGUAAAAAACUCUAAAUGUCUCCAAAUUUUCCACUUCCUCAUAAAUCCCUUGAGUAUAUACUAUGGUAAUAAGUUUUUUCUUUCUCUUUUAUUUUGAUAACAUUUUUGGGCUGUAUGCUCUUUAUCUAGUCUUCCUCUCUGCUUUCCUCUCACACAUCACUUCCUUUUCUUUUCCUUCCCUUUCCUCUCAUCUUAUUUCUAUUUAUUUAUGUCAUGUAGUUCUCUGAGCUACAUAUUAGCUGCAGAUACGAUCUCCUAAUUGUCCAAUAUUUUCCUGCAUGUACAUUAUAAAAGUGUGUGUAUGUUCCUUUAAACCUGACUUAAAAUAUAACAACGUGUCUGACUCUGACGUGUUAGUUUUGCUUCAUCAUAUUGCAUUGUAUUAUACUAAUUAUAUUAUCAUAUUAAUUAUAUCAUAAAACUAAUUUUAAAGUUAACUAAAUUAUAAAAAUAAAUAAGAAAAUUGAUAAAACUAAUUUUUAUAAAAAAACAAACUAAUAUAUAUAUAUAUAUAUAUAUAUAUAUAUAUAUAUAUAUAUGUUGUUUUGAGACAAGAUCUCCGUAUGUAGAUCAGACUGCCCUUGUACUUUGUACUCACAGAGCUCCACUGAGCAUGCUCUGUUUCUAUAUUGCUGUAUUUAGAGCCUUACAUCACCAUACCAAGUUGGUCCAUUUCUUUAAAUUAGAAGGUUUUUUUUGCGACUGUUUAUCUUAUUUUUCUUAUUUAGUUGGUUUUGUUUGUUUGUUUUGCUUGUUUCAGUUUUUGUUCUUUUUUUGAGACAAGGUUUCUCUGAGCAGCCUUGGCUGUCGUGGAGCACUCUUUGUAGACCAGGCUAGCCUAGAAUUCACAGAGAUCCAUCUGCCUCUGCUUUUGGAGUGCUGGGAUUAAGGUGUGUGUACCCAUUGCCCAGCCAUUACUAUUUCUAUCUCCUUGUUUAUUUUCAGUUUCUUAACCUAUUGAUCUCUUCUUAGUUUAACUUUGGUGGUUUGGAGACAUCUAGAAAUUCAACCAAUUGUUUUAGAGUUUCUAACAUAAUAAAACAUGGGGGUUUUGGUUCUGCUGUUUUUAUUUUUCUAUUUAAAUUUUUUUUUUUAAAUUUUACACACUAGCCCCAGUUCCCUCUCCUUCCACUUGUCCUACCCCACCUCCGCCAUCCACUCCUCAAAGGAAGUAAGGCCUCACUUGGGGAGUCAACAAAGUCUGGUAUACCAGGUUGAGGCAGGACCAAGCCUCUACUCCCCACCCCCAUAUCAACUCUGAGCAAGGUAUCCUGCAAUAGGGAAUGGAUAUCAAAAAGUCAGUUCAUGAACCCAAAAUAAGAUGUAGUCUCAUUGCCAGCCCCCACCCCCAACAGAUUAAGACAUAUAACUGUCACCCACAUUCAGAGGGCUUAGUUCAGUCUUUGCAGGAUCCCUAGUUGUCAGUACAGAGUCCAUGAGCUCCCACUAGCCUGGGUCAGCUGUCUCUGUGAGUUUCCCAGUCAUGAUCUUAACCCCUCUUGCUCAUAUAAUCCCUCCUCUCUCUCUUCAAAUAAGUUCCAGGAGUUCAGCUAAGUGCUUGGCUGUAGGUCACUGCAUCUGCUUCCAUUAGUUACUGGAUAUUGGUUCUAUGAUGACAACUAAGGUAGUCACUAAUCCGAUAAUAGGAGAAGGCCUGUUUAGGCCCCCUCUCCACUAUUGCUGGGCAUCUUCGUCGGGAUCAUCCUUGUGGAUACCACGUGUUUUUCAAGUGUUCUCUUAUAGUAUUCUAAAUUUCUUUGGUGCUUGUUAUGCUUCCUUGUUCAUCUUUGAUUCCAGUUAUUUGAAUCUUCACCUUUCUUCUUUUGCUUAAUUUGGAAAAGAGUCCAUCAAAUUUGCCGGUCUUUUCAAAGAAUCUGCUCAUAGAUUCAUUGGUUCCUUAUACUUUUAUUCUAUUUAAUUAAGUUCUGCUCUUACUUUUAUUAUUUCUUGCAAUCCACUAAAUUUAUGUUUGUUUUUUUCUUCUAUUUCCAAAUUCUUGAACUAUGUCAUUAAGUCAUUUACUUGUGCUGUUUCUGCUUUUUGGUUUUGUUAUGUUUUGUUUUGUUGAUGGUUGGUCUUACUAUAUAGCCCUGAAUGUCUGGAAUUCACUAUUUGAGGCUGGUUACCUUUGAACUUACAGAAUUCAACUCUGUAACCUUUUUAAUGUAGGGUCAAAAAAAAUAAAUGUAAAUAAUCAGACCAAAAUUAGAGUUAGAAGGAAAUAAGAGUGUGGGAGACAUUCUUGCUAAUUGAGUCAGGAAAAUGGUGAGCUGUGUGUCCAGAAAGAAAUGGUAUUGUGUCGGUCCCUCUCUGUGACUUAGAAAUGAGUGGCUAUUGUUCAAUAUGUCAAGAUUCAUACCAUGCAAUAUAUGAUUUGUGUGUCUGACCUCUCUUUUUUGUUUUUUUAAAUCUUUUUAUGGUUUAUUUUUUAAAAUCUAAAAAUUAUGAGCUCCUAUUGGCAGAUAUAGUAGUCAUUUCAACCUGGAAAAAUGAACCCACAUAUUCUGCCUUUUAUCCUUUUUCCUUUGCUAUUUGUUUUCUAACAAAACUGUUAUUCUAGCCCGAUUUAUACGUCUAUAUUUUAUUUUUUUUCUAAGAAUACUCUGUAGUGAGGCUAUGCACAGGACAUUGGGAAGACAAUGCAGUAUCAAAACACAAUGCUUUAGAGUGAGUGCCGUUUCAACCUCCAUGCUUAACUUCAGAUAAACCAUUCAUCCAUCACUUAAUGCUAUGUGUUUAUUGCUGUCUUUGAUCUAAGUUUUUUUAAUUUAUUUGUAUUUUUAAUUGUGUUUAUAUAUGUGUGUCUAUGUGUGGGAAUGUAGGUGUGAGUGAAUACCUAUAUAGACAAGAAGAGUGUGUUGAGUCCCCUGAAGCUGAAAUACAGGUAGCUCUGAACUAGCCAACAAGGGCAUGAAGAACUGAUAUCAGGUCCUCUACAAGAGGCAUCUAUUCUCUCACCCGCUGACACUGAAUUAAGUUUUUAAACUUACAGAUCUCAUGCACCAAGGGCAUGUCCUGAAAAAAAAAAAAAACUUUGUUUUCAUUUUUGUGAAUCAGUUCGCUUAUUUAGUACUGGAAUUCAAAUAGUUCUAAAGAAACAUCUACUGAUUUAUGACAGAUUAGAAUAUAUUUAACUGAAUAUCAUGGCACAUACCUUUAGAGCCAGCACUCCAGAGGCAGGCAGAUCUCUGUGAAAUUGAGGCCAGCCUGCUCUACACAAUAAGUUCCAGAACACCUGGGUCCUCUGAAUUGAGAGAAUUUGGCUUAAAAAAUUAAGAAAAUAUAAGUUUAAAAAUUUUAGAUACCAUAUGACAAAGGAAAAGAGUUUUUGUUUUUCCAAAUUAUAAGAAAUGGUUUUCUAUUGGAGAUUUUGAAGAUACUAGAAAGAACCAGAAUAUGACCAAAUUAGUAGAGUGAUACCUACUUUUUUUCAAUCGUCUAUUGCCUUCUCAUAAACUAUUCUGAUUAAAAUUAACAUUUUUCCUGAUGUUAUUAUCUUUGAAAAAUUUAAUGCUUUCAGGUAUUUUGAGCAGGAGCAAAUUUAUCAAAAUUAUUCCUGCUUAUUCAUGAGUAUCUUUAUGAAUAAUAUUUUAUGGGAUACUAUACAUAUCCUUCCUAUAUCUAGUGUAGAAGUUCUGGUUUGGGGACAUUUUACUGGAGUGGUGUAUUUGGGUGGGAUCUGUUGAAUGGCAGCGAGAUAUGUAAUACAGGUAAGAUCUAGAUGCCUUAACACAAAUGUCUGUUUAGUUUUAGUUGUCUUUGUUUUCACUUCUUAUUUCAAAUUUUAAACAUCUGUGUUCACUGUAUGUCUAGUAUUUUGCCCAUUACCCAAAAUGAAUACAAUGAGCUUCUACUUGACAUGGAUUAUUUUCUUACUGCUCCCUAACUUUACAACUUCCAAAGAAAAGAGUUUGGUUAAGGUUUAUUAAAUAAACACAAUUGUGCAAGGCGGAGUGCAGAUAGCUUGUGAACAAUGCUAUAAUACAGACUUUGAUUUUGACAGAAAUGCAGUGUAACUAAAGGUAUGUCGUAAUUAAUUACAAACAAUUGACAGAGUCACAAAGAACAUGUAAGAUGUGAUGAUUGUUUCUCUGGAGUCUUUUUUUUAUUUAGUGAACUGUUGUAUAGUUCUUAUUCAUUUACAACUCUGUCUUAUGACUCACCUAAACCUUUUCAGAGAAUUGAGUGUGUCAUCACAGAGGACAGUUGGGUUUUCCUUCGGAUGUGUUAGUAUGGUCAGGGAAAUGUUUCGGGGAUGUUAAGAACUAUUUGACGAAUGUGGAAGGGUAUUGCUGCUUCCACUGAUGUUAACUUUUAAAACAGUUUUGAGAAAUUUGAAUGGCUAGUUUUGGAAAUUGGGUCUUACUCAAAACUUUAGUAUUUGUUCUAACAUUUUCCAAUUUGUACAUUUACUUAAAUAUUCAUUCAUCGUUUCUGGGAAAACCUAAUACAUUGCAGCAUUUCAAGUUAUUUAAUUCAUCUUUAUUGUCUCUCACACUCUGCCUCUCUCUUUUUUUGAAUACACACCGGCCCUGUCACUCUGUAGCCAACUGGAAAGUCCUGAUUCUUCUUCCCAACUGCUGGGUUACAAAUUUGCAUUACCAUGCUUGCCUCUAAAUUUUAUUUAUUUAUUUAUUAUAAUUAUGUUUAGUUUUAUUUAUUAUUGGUUUAUUUUUGUUUUGGAGGACUGUAUUUCACUGUGUAGAUCUGGCUGACUUGGAGCUCUCUGUGUAGAUCAAGCUGACAUGAAACUCACAAAGAUCUGCCUGCCUCUGCCUCCAAAUAUGAGGAUUACAAGUAAGGACACAAACCAUCUCUCUUUUCUUUCAAUAUUCCUUUUUUAGUUGACUGUUGAAAGGUGAACAUAGGAUUAUGGUUAGCAUUUGUAUAGCACUUUAAUAGGAAUUUCUGCUUUUAGAACUCUGGUGAUAUUGAUUGAAACUCUAAAAAUAUUUGAAUAAUAGUUCAUCUUGAUGACAUUUUCCUCCAGAUUAAGACUUUCUAGUAUCAUUUCUAUUGCAAAAUCCUCAUUCACAUUGUGUUCCUUCAUGUGAUUUUUCUUCGUAUCAUUUGGGUGAUGAAUUUCUUGGUGGUUGAUGAUGAUCCUUGGACAUGAGUCCAUGCUUAUGUGGACUUUGUGGAGAACAGAAAGUCAGUGUCAUAAUUUCUGUGUCUGAGUUGUUGGUAUAGCAGAUGAUUGUAAGAGAGGUUUUAGAUGGUAAGCAUCUUUCUUUUUAUUUAAGGUGUUCUUUUCACCUCUGUUGUAAUACCCUCACUUGCCUGCUUCUGUUAAAAUAAUAUAGGAAAGGGAGAUUAUAAUGUAUACUAUUUCUAAGAUAUAUCAAUUGUAUUUAUAUUAUUUUUAGAAUAAAUUCCAAUUAAUAAAUAUUUGAAUCAAACACGCAACUGUGAAGACAAAGCUGUUCAUACUAGAAACAGCCUGAAUUAGUCUUCUUAUAGUUACUGUUAUAAUUUAGAAUUUAUCCUUGAAAAUAUAUGUCUGCCUGUCUUUAAGUGGUUGUGUCAUAUGCCUUUCAUUCCAGCACUUGUGACUCAGAGGCAGACAGAUCUCUGAGUUCAAGGCCAGCCUGAUCUGCAAUGUAAUUUCCAGGGAAACUAGCAUUGCACAAAGAAAACCUGUCUUAAAAAAACUGAAAUAAAAAAAUGCCCAAAAUCAAAUGAAACAAAAUAAGCAAACAUAAAACAAAAACCAACAAAACAACCAUAAACCAAAAACAAAACCUUAAGUAUUUCAGAGGAUUGUAUGUAUGUAUAACAACAAUGAACGACAAAAUAGUUUAUGAAUAUUGAAAAUAGCAAAGGAGGUUUGUGGAAAGACCUUUGAAAGGAAGAAGUAAAUGGUGUAAUUAUACUAUAAUCUCAAAAUAUUAGUUAAAAAAGGUUAAAGGAAGAAGUGCAAAGCCAUUUUUCCAAGGUUAGCUGACAUUGACAACAGUGUCUGUGUAAUCAUGACUUAGAAUAAAGCUCGGGAACUAUGGGCCAUUACCCAUGCCAGCAGGCACUAAAACACCAUAUUAAUAUGUGUAGACUAUUUAAAUCAAACUAGAGUUGCCUUGCUAUCCAUACCCAUCACACUUUCACAUAUUCAUGCACAGUUUUAAUUACAUGGAGUUAUGCUUGAGAAUUUCUUAAGCCAGGCCAGAAAAAGGUUUAAUUGUAAUGAUAGAGUUAUUUUGAAACUGGGUCUCCUGUAUCUCAGGACAGGUUCAAAUCCACUGUGAGCUAUGGGUGACCUUGAACUUCUAAUCAUCCUGAAUAAACGUCCUUCACAUUCAGUUUUAACAUUUUAGGUUAUAAAGAUGUUAUACUUACUAAACUAACUUCUUUUGUACUGGGAAAGCAGUGAUAGUCAUUGUAUAGUAUUUUGUUUAUACUUAUUUAUUUAUAUUAUUUCAAAGCACGAUUUCUUUACUUUGUCCUGGAACUAGUUCUGUAGACCAAGCUGGUCGCAAACUCACAGAGAUCCAUUUGCUUCUGCCUCCCAGGUAAUGGGGUCAAAGGUGUGUGCCAGCACCGCCUAGCCUUAUGUAGCAUGUCAUAACUGUUUAAAUAAAAUUUUAUUUCCAUCUGUAGCCUAAGGCCAUAUAUCUACUAAUCAUUUACUAGAGCAUUGAAUAAGUUAGAACCUAAAAAAUGGUAUUAAUUCAACCUCAUGGUGAAAUAUAUGAGAAUCACUUCUCCAUUUUAUUUUUAUAAGAACCUUUUUCAGUUCCUUUAUCAGGCAGGUCUCACUUGUAAGAGUAACACAUUUGAUGAUGCAUACUAUGCAUACCAUGCACCUAGUUAGCACAAUGCAGGAAACUAUACAAGUAAAAGCCUGCCUUUAGUUAUAGCUGCUAAAUUAGCUUUCAUAAGUGCAACUACUCCAUGAUCCUUACUUUAAUGGACAUUAUCUUCUUUUUUUAAACUAUUAAUCAAAUUAAUAUAUAAGUAUUAUUUCUCAGCAUCAUUGGUUUCACCCGUGUCCCUUAAAGAGUGACUAAAGCACAUUGAUUAUAGCAAAAUUACUAGAGAUAAAGCUGAUUUAGCCAUUUAAAAUUAGAGUCAAUAAUGUAUGUAACAAAUGGAUCAUAUUUAUCCAUUUAUAUUUUAUUUUCUAAAUUUCUUCAUCUCUAUGUUGUCUGGCUCUAAAGGUUAGGAUAGCAGAGAAAGAAAGAAUCUUGAAAUGAGAAUGUAUUAACUUUAAAUUAACUUGUAACUAAUUCUUAUUUUGCCUUCAGUUACUUAUUUAAAGUAUACUUGGUGUGUAUAUUUUCUGAAAGGCUCACCUAAAUCAAUUGGGAAACAAAACAUCGUGAGUAAGUGGAAAAGUACAUGAAUGGUUCAUAAAGGAAGUUUAAUGGAUGGCCACAAACAUAAAAUACAUUCAAUUAAGCCAGUCUUCAUUACUAAAUGAUUAACAUUGAAAAAAAUUGAAUCUGAAGCAUAAAGGACAUGUUAAGAAAUGAUUUUCCCCUUUCACCUAUCAGAUUCCCAGAAAUACUUAGAAAUGAAAUUUGAAACAAUCUAAAUUCCUGAUAAUGUUUAAAACGUUAAUUAUGGUAGACAUAUAUGAUGAAAAUUAGCACAUUUUGCUCACCAAUUUCAUUUUUAUGUAAUUACUUAUAGCCUGUAAUUAGAAGUGUAAAAUUUAUGUAAUAGUAAAUAUUCAUCGUAACCAAUAAUUAUGCUUGUAAUUAUUAGUUUACUUGUCAUUAAUCAUAGUUCAUUUAUCUUAUUGGAAUAUGUUUAGGCAUUAUGAAAAUGUAUCAAAUUAAUUGAUAAAAAUCUCAGUUUGAAAAGUUCAUUUGUUGCUUAGUACCAGUUAUGUCUGAAGCAAUGAUGUAUUUCUUCAUAUCAAAUGUUAUAUGCAUAUAUUUUUUUGUUGUGGCCAAUAAAUUAAUCUUAUAGCAGCGAUAUU